rnacentral:rRNA from 1 species
CCCUUAGAUGUUCUGGGCCGCACGCGUGCUACACUGAGUGGAUCAGCGGGUCAGGUUACGCGAGAGCGUUUCCUAAUCUUCAAAUCCGCUCGUGAUGGGGAUUGACGGUUGCAAUUUUCCGUCAUGAACGAGGAAUACCUUGUAAGCGCGGGUCAUCAUCCCGCGCUGAAUACGUCCCUGCCCUUUGUACACACCGCCCGUCGCUCCUACCGAUUGAGUGGUCCGGUGAGGCUUUGGGAUCUAAGCGAAAAGAGCGUUUCGCUCCUUUUGCUGGGAGAACUCAGUCAAACCUUAUCAUUUAGAGGAAGGAGAAGUCGUAACA